AUCCAGCUGACGAGCCCCAAAUUAGAUGAAAGGCGCGUCAUGGAU
rfam:Schistosoma haematobium scaffold1268_32, whole genome shotgun sequence.